ACUCUUUUAGUAUUAACUAGUACAAUUGACUUCCAAUCAAUUAGUCCUAGAUCUAACCUAGGAAAGAGUA
rnacentral:tRNA from 1 species